AAAUUGAGUAGAUCACUUAAAAAAACUAAAGAGAAGACAUUUUAAGUGAAAAGCAACAUAACUUCACAUGAUAAUAAGUUGAGAAAAACAACCAAUAUAGGUGGAUAUCGUGGUUGAGGUCAUUGUAGAGGAAUAAGCAAUGGUAAAAAUUGGCAAGCUAAUUGUGAGCAAUCUUUAAAUGAUCAAAAAAGUUAUAACAAAAGUGGUAUUCAAUGCCACUAUUGUAAUAAGUUUGGGCAUACAAAGGCCGAAUGCUGAAAAUGAGAAAAAUAAGUAAGUUAUUCUACAGAGACAAAGAAGCAAAGGUGUUGUUCAUGGCCUAUGAAGUUAAACAUGCUGAUUCCAAUGCAAAUGAAGUCUGGAAUCUAGACACUGGUUACUCAAGUCAUAUGUCGUGCCUGAAAUCAGUAUUCAGU
rnacentral:lncRNA from 1 species